AAAUCAGCUUAAUGUUAAAUAUUCAGGCAGUGGCUAGUGAGGGUGGCACUGAAGAUGCAAAAAGAAGGGGUGAUGUGUUUGCUCAUGCAUUUUCAGCACAUUUGGCAAGAUUGAUGGAGGAGCCUGCUGCAUAUGGUAAGCUAGGACUGGCUGACCUUUUGGAACUACGAGAAUAGUGCUUGAGAGAGUUUCAUUUCUUUGAUGCCUACAGGACCAUUAAACAAAGGGAGAACAAAGCAUCACUUGCAGUUUUACCUGAUCUUCUGAUGGAGCUUGACGACAUGAAUGAGGAAAUGAGACUACUUACCCUAAUUGAAGGAGUACUUGCUGCAAACAUCUUUGAUUGGGGAUCACGGGCCUGUGUUGAUCUCUAUCACAAAGGAACAAUCAUCGAGAUAUAUAGGAUGAGCCACAAUAAGAUGCAAAGACCCUG